CCAAGGUGGAUUUAAUAAGGUGACAGCAUUCACCCAGCUGAAUUUUUCGCCGUAGUUAUGGCUUACGUCAAAAUGAUAUGCUUUGUUUGUAUGUAUUGGUAUGUUUACAUUCGUAUGUUUACAUUUGCUUGCUGAUUUUGACAUGAUGCUUGCACCAAACGCAACAACAAAUACAUGUAGGGUUUUACUUAUAUGUGUUUGCUGUCACCUGUAAUAAAUUCGCCUUGAGUAAAACCCUACAUGUAUUUAUUGUUGCCUUUGGUCCAAGCAUCACGUCAAAAUCAGCGUUUAAAUUGCUUAGUGUGAAUUAAUUUGCCAUGGGCAUGCAUAAACUGAAAUUGAAUGUAGAGAGUUAAGUUUGGACACGUAAAAGUUUAAAAUAGGGAAACAUAACGCAAAAAAACUUCGAAACAAGGGCAAAAUUAAAGUCUUACUGCGUACAGAAAGUAAUGAUAUUAAUGGCUAUCAGAAAUCCACCUUGAGAUACGCAUACCAUAUUACAUAAAAAUGUUUGCUUCAUGUUUUUUAUGGAAAAUCGAUCG